UGGAGCCUAUGAGUCCCAUAGGAGGUCUUAGUUGAUGCAAUAGGUCGUGAACCGACCAGGAGCCCCUGAAAUCGUCCAGGCAACUAGUGCAAGUUGUCCUUCCAUGACAAGGGAGUGGGCUUCCCCUCAAGGUCCCGUCGGAAGUAGAGGGAAGGUAGGGAGUAGUAGAGGGUCUUCGCGAGACAUCUCCAGGCAAUCCGGGAAACCACGGUUGGCCCUGUCCGAGGGGUGUCCUGAGCAGGAGCGAU